GGGUGGCAUGGGGUGGCAACUGCCACCCUAAAUGAAAGCCUUGCCACCCCUGCUGCCACCCCAUGUGGCAGCAACGAGUUAAAAGAAAAGUUAACGUCAGUCUGACAUUUACGAGCCGAGCGCAAAUCUCAAAUGUCCGACUGCAGUGAAUGCAGCACGAGAUAACGCCGAAAAAAGUGUCUCUUCUAAUUCGAAUGCAACCCAAGCGCUCUUAAGUGACGUGGUUGGUUACGUUCCUGUUGUUCAUCUGUCCAUCAUCGUCUAAAGCCCGCCCUGGCAAUCUGAUUGGGCCAGGGCUACGUUCGGUUGGGACCCAGGCUAGCACCUGACUGCUUUCUUUUGAAAAGUGAGUGGCGCGAACGCGAAGUGAAGGAGCCAGGAGUCGCAAGGAGAGGACACACGGGAGGAAAGAGACGUAUCCAAGUCCAGGUGUGAGGUUCCAGUGCAGCCAGUGCGGGAGAGUUUCCCAAAGACACUCCAGGGAGGAGCCAGGAGAAGCUUCCGCAGCGACUGGUACAAAUCUCAUCCCUGGUUAGAAUACUCACAAUCUAAAGACGCAUCUUACUGUUUUGCCUGUAGGCAUUUUUCCCUUCCCGAUGCUCCAAGGACUGUUUUCACCUCAUUCGAGGGUUAUCAAAACUGGAAAAAGGCUACAAUGAAAGACAGUGGUUUCUGUUCUCAUGCCAGAUCUGAAAGCCAUGUAAAUGCAAUGUUUGCAUGGACAGAGAACAAUAAAAUGAAGGAUAAAAAUA